rnacentral:snoRNA from 1 species
AGGCUGUGGUGUGGGCACUUCCUCAGUAAAUCCUUGAAUCUCUCCAAAGCUUCAUACAAACUUUCUUGAUCAUGGUGGACAAAGGUCAUUAUCUCAUUGCACAGUUU